AUGGCCAUCCACAGGGCUUCGCUUCUUGCCGUCCUCUGUUGCAUUUGCCUCUGUGGUACUGUCAUUGCGGCUCGUGAGUUGAACGGUGACUUGUCGAUGGUGGCGAAGCAUGAGAACUGGAUGGCUCAGUACGACCGUGUGUACAAGGACGCCACUGAGAAGGCAUGCCGGUUCGAGGUUUUCAAAGCCAAUGUUGAGUUCAUUGAAAUGUUCAAUGCUCAGAAUCACAAGUUCUGGCUCGGUGUCAACCAAUUCGCUGAUAUCACCAAUGAUGAGUUCAAGACAACCAACACAAACAAGCGGUUCAAAGCAAACUCCAUCAGAGUUCUUUCUUCCGGGUUCAGUUCUUUCUUCCGGGUUCAGGUAUGA
rnacentral:rRNA from 1 species